rnacentral:rRNA from 1 species
UACGUAGGGUGCGAGCGUUAAUCGGAAUUACUGGGCGUAAAGCGUGCGCAGGCUGUUCUGUAAGUCAGAUGUGAAAUCCCCGAGCUCAACUUGGGAACUGCGUUUGAAACUACAGGACUAGAAUAUGUCAGAGGGGGGGUAGAAUUCCACGUGUAGCAGUGAAAUGCGUAGAGAUGUGGAGGAAUACCAAUGGCGAAGGCAGCCCCCUGGGAUAAUAUUGACGCUCAUGCACGAAAGCGUGGGGGAGCAAACAGG